rnacentral:lncRNA from 10 species
UAUUAAAAAACAGCUUUAAAAAAAAAAAAAAAAAAAAAAACUUGAAAUAGGAACUUCACCGUCUCUUAAGAGCGAUAUAUUUAAUACAUUCACAAGAUUCGAAAUGAAAAACAAACAUUAUUCAUGCUACAGGUUUUUAAUUUUCCUUGGACAACACCAAAAACACAGUACUCAAACGGCAUGUUUUUUUUUUGUUUUUUUGGUUUCUUUUUGAGAUGGAAUUUCACUCUUGUUGCCCAGGCUGGAGUGCAAUGGUGUGAUCUUGGCUCACUGCAACCUCCGCCUCCCGGGUUCAAGAGAUUCGCCUGCCUCACAGGCGCCCACCGCCACACCUGGAUAAUUUUUGUUUUUUGUUUUUUUUUUUGAGACGGUGUCUCACUCUGUCGCCCAGGUUAGAGUGCAGUGGCACCAUCUCAGCUCACUGCAAGCUCCGCCUUCCAGGUUCAUGCCAUUCUCCUGCCUCAGGCUCUCGAGUAGCUGGGACUACAGGCGCUCACCACCACGCCCGCCUAAUUUUUUCUAUUUUUUAAUAGAGACGGGGUUUCACCCGUGUUAGCCAGGAUGGUCUCGAUUUCCUGACCUCGUGAUCCACCCGCCUAGGCCUCCCAAAGUGCUGGGAUUACAGGCAUGAGCCGCCGCGGCCGGCAAUUUUUGUAUUUUAAGUGGAGAUGAGCACAGGAAUUGUGCCCAAAGGCUAGG